CUUGCACAACUACUCCUUUGCUUCACAAUUUUCAUUUUCAACUUCCUCUACUUCACAAUUUACCAAUGGCAUCAUCAGCUACUACAAUGAAGUUCUUCUCUUUCUUUUUUGUUGUCUUUGUGGCUGUUGUGGCCUCGGCUCAAGACCUUAGUCCCUCAUCCGCUCCGGCACCAGGUCCUGAUGUUGGGGCUUGUGGAUCUGUUACGAGUUCAGUUGCUAUGAUCGGAGCUUCAAUUGUGUUGUCAAUGCUUGCCAUCUUGAAGAACUGAAAACAUCAUGAACCCACUAAUUUUCUGGUGGAUUUCGUGGAAACAAAGAAAAUGAACACAACUCAAAGAUAGUCGUUAUUGUUGAUUAUUAUGAGUUGAUCUACCUACACAUUUUCUUGUGUACUAUACUUGAGAGCGAGAUAAUAUUUAUUAUCCUAUUUCAUUAUUCAUUGUAGGUGUUAUGUAAAAAUAAAAAGGAUUUUAUCAUCCUUUGUCUAAAAAUAAUUAUUAGCAUCUUAGUGUUAUAGCUUAUUCGUUUUUGUGUGUAAUAUAUUAACAAUGAUUUUUGUAAUUUAUUAUUUUUCCAAAUCUUAUUCCUCGCUUUUGGUAUUUUUUGCUCAAAAAAAAAAAUAACAAAGAAGUGACCAAGUCGAGAGUCUCAGCAAGGUCAUGAAAUGCCCUACAUCUCAUUGAGUACUAAUAUAAUUAUUUACAGAUCAUCUAAUAAAAAGUUUCUUACAUUGACAACGAAAGCUAAAUACACAUAUUUGCAGAAUAUUAAUCAAUUACAACCUAAUCCAACUCCAUUGACAACUUACUCGUAUGUUUUCGAUAAAUAAGUUUUCUUUUUAAUUUUUUACAUUGAAAAAUUAAGAAUGGAGACGAGCAAAAUAUGUGUCUAAAACGAGCAAAAUUUGUCUCUAAACAUAUCUGGGACAAAAUCACAUACCGAACUGGGUCUGUGGUUACUUCCAUCGUCGCUAAGCCUUGAGAGACAUAAUUUAAAUUUCCACCUCCAAUCAUAAACAAAAUAAAUUUUUCUCCAAAUACUAAUAUCUGUCGUUCAUGGUUAAAAAAUAGAUGGACUAAAUCUGACGUUGUUGGAGAUAGAAACCACAAUCUCUAACAAACAUAAUUCCGUCUCUAAACUUUGUUGUGAAGUUUAUAAAUUUCGUCUCAAAUUAUUAAUAUUAUGGGUGUGUUUGUUUCUAUGGAAAGAUAGUGAGGGGGAGAGAAAGACAAGGGAAAGAAACAUUUUCCAUGGUUUGGAACAAGUGAAACCAACUAAUGAAAGAAUGAGAUACCAUGGCUUCCACACCAAAAACCUUUUCAUGGCAAUAUGUGCAGAAAGGUUGGGGAAACAACUAACUUUUGUUUAAAAAGUCCAAAGCACCCCUAGUUUUAUUGUUUUUUUUUUUUUUUUUUUAUUUCUAAACGGGUGUGCAUAUAUAUAAGGGUAUAUAUCUCCAUUAGAAAAAAAAAUAGAUCUUUCUUUCCUCCAAUUUUCUAAUCCACUUUCUAUUAAACCAAACAACCAAAACAAUCCCUUCAUUUUCCAUUUCCUUUCUAUCCUCAUACAAUCUUUCCUUUUACUAUCUUUCCUCUUACUUUCUCUUCUCAUCCAAACAUAGCCUAUGUCUCUACAUAGAAGGAUUGAAGUUUCGUCUCUAAAAAUAUUAUUGUUUUUCAAAUCUACCUCAAUAUUCCAAAUAUUUGCUAAAACGAUGUUUAAAAUUUUUAUUAUGUUUAUCUAGCUCUCGAUAAUGUCAUACUUAUAUUUUGAUAAACAUCAAAUUUGCAAAAAUGACAUAACAUACGCUCAUACAACUACACCACAUGAUAUCAAUACAUAAAGUUGUCAAAUAUAUGUAAAAACAAGGGUGGCUUAAGCACGGGCCAAGGGGGUGGCAGCCUAGGGCACCAUAAAUUUAGAGGCACCAAAAAAUUAUUUUUAAUAUAUAUGUGUGUGUGUGUGUAUUCCCAUUAAAAAAAAUAUAAAAUGCUAGUUGCUGACAAAAUCACAAGGCACUACAAAGUCUAAACUAAUAAAUGACGUGAAUAAAUAAAAUGUAAAAUAAAACCAGUCAACUACAUGUACCAAAAAAUAUUAAUUACAUCCAUAAUUUUAAGAGCUAAACCGAUGAGUCAUGAGUGAAAAGCAAGUGAAUAAUCUAAUUGAGGCACUACAAUUAAAAUAAUGAUAUAGAGUGUUAUGAGUAAUAAAGAGUAGGGUUUUUUUGCUAAAGUAUAUUAAAAGUCGAAUUAUUUUACCUAGUAUAUGAGCCUCUUUUCUUUCUAAUUCUAAUUCUUAUUCUCUAUGACUAAUAUCUCCAUCUCAAUUUGAAAACAAAAAAUAUCUCUCCAUCUUAAUUACGCAACUAUUAGCACAAGAACAAUCAAUUGUCAAAAGCAUAAGUGAUGUAUACGAUUGAUCGCAACUUCAUAAGAUAGGAGUAGGCGCCAAUUGCAAUUGCCAAACAAUUUAUUUAUUAUUUAAUAGUCAAACAAAUUUUAACUCUUGAGGAAUUAACAUUGAAUUAUGAAAUGUUGUGAUGAUAUAAACAUUGAAUUAUGAUCCAUGUCUGCUGUUUUGAUAAACUUGUCGAGUGAAGCCUAGACUCUGGAACAUGGAUUAUAGCUUAGAGCUAAUUGGUUUACAUUUCAAAGAUUCAUACUUGUGUUCUUCUUGCACAAUGUCAAAUGAAAUGUUUAAUAGUUUUCCCUUUCAUUUCUUUUAAUCGUAUCAUUUUUUGUGGAAUUUUUUUAUAAGGGCACCACUCUCUUGAUUCGUCCAAGGCAUCCAAAUUUAAAGAGUUAGCCCUGUGUAAAAAGAUCAUACUAUAUUUGAUAUACCAAAAAUUAGCUAAAUAAAAGUAAUCAUACUAAAGUUUAACAUCAAUCCAUCUCAUUGUCACCAAUAUAAAGCUAUCCAGAAUAUAAAAAGAUCAUGAUAUGUUGAUCUAACUAAAAAAAAACAUUAAUAAAAGGGACAAAGCUAGAGUUCAUCCAUCUCGGCGUUACCAAUAUCACCUUAUCCUUCUGGUUGAAUCGAAGAGUUCAUAUUAGGCAUUUCAAACGUUCCAUCUUCGGUAUUAUCAUUUCUUGUACAAAAAAAUUCAUAUCAAGUUCAGCAUCUUUUUCUAACGAAACUACAUCGAUAAAAAUUGGAGGUUACAACAAUAGCUUAUGAUCCUAGCCUCCAUAGCAGUAACCUUUUGGCUAAAUGUUUGUUUUUAUUUCUUUUUUUAUCAAAAAAAUGUUUUUUUCCUUUACAAAUGAUCUUUUUUUAAUUUCUAACUAACAAAUUGUUUCUUAACAAAAAUAUACAAUAAAUCUUUAGUCCUUAAAAUUGACUAUAUAAUAAGAGUUUAAUUUAUAUACUUUAUCAUUGGACAACACAUAUACCACUUAAACAUUUAUUCUUUGUCUCAUAAUAAUUGUCACCUUAUAAUAUAACACAACAUUUAUUAAUUUUUUCAUCAAUAUAUUCUUAUUUAUUGAAUUUCACUUCUUUUAAUUAAUAAACUAUCUUAAAUUAGUAAGAGAGUUUUGAUAAAUUACACACCAUCUGGUCACUAUUACAAGUAAAAAUCAACUUUUUAAAUACUAUAUAAAAAGUGGAUUUUUACAUAUAAUAAUGACUUUAGAGAUGUAUUAAUUUCACUAUUGAAACUAACAUAAUUGAUUUUUUUUUUUUUUAAAUCAUGUAGAACCUCAAAGAGGCAAUUAAAAGAGGGAAUACAAGAGUAACUUCAAAGAACAAUUCUACCACCAAUAAGAAUACGUCUAUUGUUCCACUUGGACAAACGAUUCCUUUAUACACCCUCCACUUGAAUUAUUAAUGUAUUCUUAGAACUUGGUACAACAGUCCAAGUCUUGGUCGAAAAAAGAGGUGUCCAAGUCAAUUUUAAAUCAGAAACGUUGGCAAUUAUAGCAUGGUGAAUCCUUCAAAGAAAAAACAAGCAUGAUGAUUUUACUUGGUUGUUUAACAAAACUAAACAGCACAUUCACACAGCGCCCAAUCGUAAACAAACAUCAAACGGCCGACUCAUUCAUAAUACAUUUUCAAGCUCCAGCUAUCCACGCUAUCUGUGGACCCCACACGCUUCUCUAAAUAAUAAUUCUUCCCUUAUAAAUACUUUCACACCCUCUCAAUUCUCAUAUCACCACUUCUCAACAUUCUCAACUUCUCUUUAUAUUUUCGAUCUUCAUUUUCAAUCUUCUAUUCCAUAGUUUUGCAAUGGCAUCAUCAGCUAUAAAGUUCUUCUCCUUCUUUUUGGUCAUCAUCUUCGCCGCCACAGUGGCCUCUGCCCAAGACCUUAGUCCCUCGUUGGCUCCGGCACCAGGUCCUGAUGCUGGAGCUGCUGGAUCUGUUACAAGUUCAGUGGCUAUGGUCGGAAUUUCGGUUGUAUUGUCAAUGCUCGCCAUCUUCAAGCACUAAAAACAUGAUGAUUCCACUCAUUUUCUUGUGGAUUCAUGGAAGUAGGCUGAUGUUCUGCUACAUAAUGUUGGUUUGCGGUAUAGUGAUGAUUGAUAUGAGUUAAUCUAUGUAUACUUGAGAGCGUGAGAGUGAGAGAUUUUUACCGUAUUUAUUUUUAUAUUUCAUUAUUUAUUGUAGGUGUUAAGGAAAAAUAAGGAAGACUUUACUAUCCUUGUCGAGUAAUUAUUAUUGUCAUGUUAGCGUUAUGCUUAUUCAUUUUUGUGUAUAAUAUAUAAACAAUGAUAUUAUUUUAUACUUGGUAUUUUUUUAUUUUAUAAAUAUUCUUAUUUUAUAUGUCUUUUAUCCUUGAUCAUUUAAGUUUGGACUUGAAUAUGAAAAUAAUUAAACAAGUCAUUUAUUUAAAAUGAUUAAUUAAUACGUUCAAAUUUUUGUAAUAUAAAGGGAAAUAUAUGUUUAAUUGUAUCUUAACGUUAUAAAAGAACCAAAAUAAUAUUAUUAUUUUUUUUGUUUUAAAGAAUGGAGUCGUGGAAUUCAAUUUAUAUAGGUGAAACGAAUUAUUGUGGGUUUGCCUAUGCCUAUUCGAAACUAGAGAAUUCGAGCAGCGAAAAUUCAAAUGAUAUAAGUGAAACAAAUUAUUGCGGAUUUGGCUAUGCCUAUUCAAAACCAAAGAACUAUUGUGGGUUUGACUAUGUCUAUUCAAAACCAAAAAUUCGUUAACCUAAAAAUUUAGCAGAAGUGGUUAAUGAGCUACACCAAAAAUGAAUAAUUCUAGAGAUUCUGAGUUGGUUCCUGAGCUCAAAGUUUUUUUUUGCACAAACCAAAUGAUAUAUAAUAAUAACAACAAUUAUCCACCCUGCACAAGGCGUGCAAAAGUGAAUCAUCUAUCAAAAUAUACAAAGUCCAGGUGCCAAAAAAGAGGGACACCAUCAUAAACAUCGAAAAAAAGUUACCGGUAAACACCCAUACAAAGUAACGGGUGUUUCACCAAUCAUAAUAACUGUAAACAAAGGAUGGUUGUUUGGUUUUCACCCACAAAAAAGAUGUCAUCUUGAUUUUUUCGAUGAGAACAUAAGGAUGUGAUGCCACAUUUUUAAAGAUAUGGUUAUUCCGAUCCUUCCAUAUAACCCAAGCACAAGCAUACCAAAUACCUUUUAAAAAAGAUUGAGUGCACCGUGGUAAUCCCGCCAUAUUGGAAAACUGAAGAUGAUGUUCACGUUACACGAUGAACAACUGAGUGGACAAAUUAACACGAAAAAAACAAACAAUCGUUUACGCUAAUAAUUUGUUGUAUACCAUACUUUUGAAAUUUGUUGAAUUUUAUCCACGAUAAAAUGCGACUUUAAAUCGGCCUCUUUGGAAAUAGGAAAUCAAAAUUCGCAUAACUUGUAUCAAAUCGCCCUUUUUUACCUUGUGGACAGGUCUUGCAUCUCUGCGAGCUUAAUAUUUUAUGGAGAAUAGGGAAUCAAAAUUCACAUAACUUGUAUCAAAUCGCCCUUUUUACCUUUAGAAAAAUGUGUAACCAUUACAUUUUUAUUCUCCAAGUUGCAAAAAAUGUAAAUUUUUAGGAUAAAGUUUUCUGUAUUUAAAAAGGAUAGAGAUUAAGAAAGAGAAAUAUGUAAGAGAGAAUGCGAGAAAAGAGAUAAAUGUAAAAUAUAAUAUAAUUUAAAAUAUGAUAUAAAAAACAAGGAAAAAUGUUUUAUAUUUUAGGUUUACUUGUUAAAAUAGCUUUUGUAAUAUAUGUGAAGUCUGAAAAUAAUCCUAGUAAAAAUAAAAACACAAAUUAUAUCCGUGUAAGAGAAAACAAUCAUGGUUAGAGAACAUAAUAAAUAGCAUGACGAUCUUGCUUAUUUAAAGCUAGAGGUAUAUAAGAUACCUAGCUCCCUACAUAUUUUGAUAAAAGAAUCUGAUUAAAGUAGUUUUAUAAAAAUAUCAACAAGUUGACACUAUUUAAAUAUCUUUAAAAAACAAAUCACUAACUUUUAAGUGAGAUUUCUUAGGGAAAGCAUAUGGCACAAGAAUGACUGCAAGAACAAUUCUACUACCAAUAAAAAUACGUUCUAUUAUUCCACUUGGACAAACAAUUUCUCAAUACAUUCACAACUUGUGAAUUAUUAAUGUAUUCUUAGAACUUACAAGAGUCCAAGUCUUGUUCGAAAAAAGAGGUAACCAAGUCAAUUUUAAAUCAGAAUCGUUGGCUAUUAUAGCCGUUGAUGUCUUCAAAUAAAAAACAAAGAUACGAUAUUUAACAAAAGUGAACAGCACAUUCACACAGCUCACAAACGUAUAGAAACAUCUAACGGCCGACUCAUUCAUAGUAAUAUAUUUUCAAGCUCCAGCAGCUGUCCAUGUUAUCUGUGGACCCCACACUCUUCUCUAAAUAAUAAUUCUUCCCUUAUAAAUACUCUCACACCCUCUCAAUUCUCAUAUCACCACUUCUCAACAUUCACAACUUCUCUUUAUAUUUUCAUUUUCUCAUUUUCAAUCUCAAAUUCAAAGUUUUAUAAUGGCAUCAUCAGCUAUGAAGUUCUUCUCCUUCUUUUUGGUCAUCAUCUUCGCCGCCACCGUGGCCUCUGCCCAAGAUCUUAGUCCUUCGUUGGCUCCAGCACCAGGUUCUGAUGCUGGAGUUGCUGGAUCUGUUACAAGUUCAGUGGCAAUGAUCGGAGUUUCAGUUGUAUUGUCAAUGAUCGCCAUCUUCAAACACUAAAAACAUAAUGAUUCCACUUAUUUUCUUGUGGAUUUCAUGGAAGUAGACAAGUAAUAUUGACCUGUUCUGAUGCAUAAUGUUGUUUUGUGGUACGAUGAUGAUUGUUAGGAGUUUAUCUAUGUAUUUUUGAGAGUGUAAGAUAUUUUAUAGCAUUUACUUUUACAUUUUAUUAUUUAUUGUAGGUGUUAAAGUAAAAUAAAUAGGACUUUACCAUGGUUCUUGAGUAAUUAUUAUUGUCAUGUUUGCUUAUUUAUUUUUGUGGAUAAUAUAUAAACUAUGACAUUAUUACAUUUUUCUACUUAGUAUUCUUUUAUAAAUCUUUUUCUUUUAUUCAUAUUUAUUCUUUCAUCAUUUAAGUUUGGACUUUUUUUUUGUGUACCUUUUAGUUUGGACUUGAAUAUGAAAAUAAUUAAACAAGUUGUUUAUUAGAAAAAAAAUAGGUUUAAUUGCAUUUUUCCUCCUAUCUUUUGUUAAUUGUGCAAUUUUGCACCCCUUUAUUUUUUGAGCGAUUUUGCACCCCAUCUUUUUCCCCCUUUCUGAUUUUGCCCCCCGUCUUUGUGUUCAAUUGCACUUUUGCCCCCUAUCUUUUUGCUAAUUGUGCGAUUUUGCACUCUCUCUUCUUUUUUUUGAACGAUUUUGCACCUUAUCUUUAGCCCCUUUUCCUCUCUUUUAAUGAUGAUUUUUAACAAAACACAAUUGGCAAAAGAUGGGGUGCAAAAUCACUCAAAAAAAACAAGGGGUGUAAAAUUGCACAAUUAGCAAAAGAUAGGGGGAAAAGUGAAAUUAAGCCACUUUUUUCUUGACAAGAAAGCAUCUCCAAGAUUUUUGUAAGAAGAUAAAAGAAAUACUCCCUCCGGUCCUAUUUAUAAGAUAAAGUUGGGUCAACAAAAGUUGAUGUAUCAGGUUAACAAUUUUCUUAUAAAUAGGACCAGAGGGAGUAUAUGUUUAAUUGUAUAUUAAUUUUCAAAAAGAACCAAAAUUUAAGAUAAAAAUAAAGAUUUGCGAGAAAAUAAUAUAUUUAUUGAAUUUAACUCCAUUUCAUUAACCCACUGACUUUAAUUAAUAAGAGUGUUUUCUUUUUGUGGUGGCCGAAGUUUAAACCUCAAACCUUAUAUAUAUUAUGCAUUGUCUCCAGCAACUAAGUUAAAUUCACGAUGACAAUUAAUAAGAGUAUUUUGGUAAAUGAUACAUUAUUCAAUCACUAUUAUAAACAAAAAUCAAUUUUUUUUUAUAAAAUUUUAUUAUGACUUAUAAUAGUGAUCAGAGGAUGUACUAACAUUAUUAUUAAAAUCACCAUAACCGAACGUUUUCUUAAAGAGAAAUGUUAUUUGUACAACCAUUUUUAUACAACUUUUGUACAACUUUAUCUCUGAUACUCACAUUAUCUUCUUAUUCUCUCUUUUCUUUUUUCUCUCUCCAUUGUUUUUGACCAAUAAGAAGAGAGAACAACAAGGUUGUACCAAAAGUUGUACCAAAAUAGUUGUUCAAAUAUCAUUACUCUUUCUUAAAAAUCGUACACAACCACAAUGUGACAAUUAAAAGGUAUGGGGAGUGCGGAUAGGUAUUAUUCUUUCCCGAGAAAUGAUAUUUGUACAACCACUUUGUGAUAACUUUUUGAUAACUUUCUCUCUCAUACUCACAUUAUUCUCUUAUUCUCCCUCUUUCUUUUUCUCUCUCCAUUGUUUUUGACCAAUAAAAAUAGAGAGAAACGAAGUUGUCACAAAAAUCGUAUCAAAUGGUUGUUCAAAUAUCACUUCUCUUCUUUCCCGUGUCUUUUUCACCCGUCCAAUGAUAAUCCAACCAUUUCUAAUAAAUUUUUAUAAAGUUCAGUGAAAUAAAAUGAAUGGUUAAGAUGAGUGACUUCAAGAGAACAAUUCUACCAUUAAUAAAAAUAGGCUAAAUUACAUUUUUGGUCCCUUAACUAUUUAGGUAGUAUCACUUUGGUCCCUAAGUUAAAAUUUGAUUUAUUUUGUUCUCUUAACUCCUUCCUGCUACACAUUUUGGUAUUUUUCGUUAGUUUUAAUUCAAAAACGUUAGGUUUUCUUCAUUUUCUUCUGGAAUUUUUCUCGGAUUCAUGUUGUUGAAGGUUGAUGGAGAUGAUAUAAAGAUGAAAAAGAGGAGAAGAAGAUGAAGAAAACCUAACGUUUUUGAAUUAAAACUAACGGAAAAAACUAAAAUGUAUAACGAAGAGAAGUUAAAGGACCAAAAUAAAUUGAAUUUUAAUUAAAGGACCAAAACAAUACUAGCUUAAUAGUUAAUGAACCAAAAAUGCAAUUUAGCCAUAAAAAUAUGUCUAUGGUUCCACUUGAACAAACGAUUCCUCUAUACAUCCGCCAUAUGAAUUAUUAAUUGAUUCUUAGAACUUACAAGAGUCCAAGUCUUGAUCGAAAAAAGAAGAGUCCAAGUGAAUUUUAAAUCAGAAAAUAUUGGCUAUUAUAGCGGUUGAGUUAUUCAAAGAAAAACAAAAGAUAUAAUAAUUCUACUUUUUUGGUACUUUUGUUUAACAAAAGUGAACAGCACAUUCACACAGCUCACAAACGUAUAGAAACAUCUAACGGCCGACUCAUUCAUAGUAAUAUAUUUUCAAGCUCCAGCUGUCCACGUUAUCUGUGGACCCCACACUCUUCGCUAAAUAAUAUUCUUCCCUUAUAAAUACUCUCACCCUCUCAAUUCUCAUAUCAUCACCACUUCUCAACAUUCACAACUUCUCUUUAUAUUUUUAUUUUCUCAUUUUCAAUUUCAAUUUGAAAGUUUUACAAUAACAUCAUCAACUAUGAAGUUCUUCUCCUUCUUUUUGGUCAUCAUCUUCGCCGCCACCGUGGCCUCUGCCCAAGACCUUAGUCCUUCGUUGGCUCCAGCACCAGGUCCUGAUGCUGGAGCUGCUGGAUCUAUUACAAGUUCAGCGGCUAUGAUCGGAGUUUCAAUUGUGUUGUCAAUGCUCGCCAUCUUCAAGCACUAAAAACAUGAUGGAUUCCACUUAUUUUCUUGUGGAUUUCAUGGAGUAGGCAAGUAAUAUUGACUUAUUCUGGUGCAUAAUGUUGUUUUGCAGUACAGUGAUGAUUGUUAGGAGUUUAUCUAUCUAUUUUUGAGAGUAAUGUAAGAUAUUUUACGGUAUUUAUUUUUACAUUUCAUUAUUUAUUGUAGGUGUUACAGUAAAAUAAAAAGGACUUUACUAUCGUUGUUGAGUAAUUAUUAUUGUCAUGUUUGCGUAUUCAUUAUUGUGUAUAAUACAUAAACAAUGCCAUUAUUGCAUUUUUCUACUUGGUAUAUUUUUUUAUAAAUCUUUUUAUUUUAUUCAUCUUUUAUCUUUCAUCAUUUAAGUUUGGACUUUUUUUUGUGUACCUUUCUGUUUGGAAUUGAAUAUGAAAAUAAUUAAAAAGUUGUUUCUUAGAAGAAAAAAAAUAUUUAAUACUAACAGCUCAAUUUUUGUUUUGAACAAUCAAAUUUAUUAGAAAUGACAGAAGUAGUACUUAACUCACAAUUCAGGAAUAGUACAAGGGAUACUUGCUUAGUAAAAAAUCCAAACUCUAACUUAAGUAUUUAAACAAAGAAGAGAGUUUGAGUAUCAUUUAUUAUAUAAACACGGUCCCACUUUUUUCUUGACAAGAAAGCAUCUACAAGAUUUUUGUAAGAAUAUAAAAGAAAUAUAUGUUUAAUUGUAUCUUAAUUUUCUAAAAGAACCAAAAUUUAAGAUAAAAAUAAAGAUAUUAAAAGAUAAAGAUUUGUGAGAAUAUAAUAUUUUUUUUGGUUUUAAAGAAUGAAGUGGCGAAAUUCAAUUCAUAUAGGUGAAACGAACUAUCUCGGGUUUGAACAUGCCUAAUCAAAAACAAAAAGUCGCAAAAAGUCGUUAACCAACAAAUUUAGCUGAAAUAGUUUAUGAACUACACCAAAAAAUAAUUUAACACGAAGAAAAAAAAAGGAAAAAAUCGUUUACGUUAAUAAUGAGUUGUGGUCUUUCUAUAAACUGGCAAAUUUAUUAAUCAAGCCAAUUUACAAGAAGUAACGAAAGCACAAGCAAACAAGAAAAAAACAAUCAUAAAAUAAAAAUAUAAAAAACAAGUACUACACCCUAAGAACAUGCCCUCAUAAACACAAUUUUACACUACACAAUCCGAAGAAAGACCUAACUAAGGUUUUACAAUUCGAGAGUUUACCUCAAUUUGUUUUACCUAUAUAAACUCAAACUCAUAUAAGUUUAUUUAAAAUUAAAAUUAUAUAAAAUUUAUUAUAUCCAUGACAUAAGUAAGCUAAUAUAAUAUUGCAAAUAUGUCAAUAAUUCAAAAUAUGACUUAAUUACAAAGACAAAGUAUACAUAACCACCAUAAUAAAGAGUUGUGUUCGGCUUAGCAUCAAAAUACAAAAUUAACUUGCAAAAUCAUAAGUUUGGUAAGACUUUAAACCAUCCAAUAAAGCAAGUUUUAAAAGUUUUUAAAGUUGUUAAUGUUGGAUAUUUAUAUAUUGGCUUCACUUUUGCCUAAAACAAAUAUUCAUGUGAGAUAUUGAACACGAUGUGUCAACAUCCUGGCAUGGUUCAGUUGAUCUGCACACUGUCUCGUUUUAUGCACGCGCUAUUUUAUUUAAAGAAUCCACAUCUUUAUUCAUGUUGGUCAAGCUGCGUGUUUUUAGCACAUGAUCAGAUCAGUUUGUGAUUUCCUAAGAUUGUGUUAUCUACUUAGGAAAGUUUGGAGGUGAUCACGAUGUUCCUAAUAAUGUGCCUACAUAUUAGGAGUUUCCUUUUUUGAUUCUGUUGAUCGUGAAAUGGAUCACCGGAUUGUUCUGAAGCACAACAAGUUUACUGACUCGUAUUGCUUCAGUAUUUAAACAAGACUCAUUCAAGCCGUCAUUUUGAAGAAUAGAUCAUCUAGGAUUUUGAGUCUGUUUGUGUGAGCUUUUCGUGUAUCAUCUUAAUGCAUGUUUAGGACUGUGUUUGAGUUGUAAAUUGUGCACUACUCUGAAGCUUUUAAGAAAAGAGUUAGGUAGUUUGUAAACUGCACCUAAGUUGUGAAAUACGGUGUUUAGUUUUUUUGUGUUUGUAAUUUGAGAAUCACAGGGGAUGUGAUCAAUUGUAAGGGAGUGAGAUGGGAUCUCAGAUCUAGGAGUUCCUAGGUUGAAGUCAGUACGGGUAGGUCCUAGGUCAUUAGCACAAACGAGGAGUUUGCUGAGAGCUAUUGAAUAAGGACUACACUAGUGGAUUUCCUUCCUGACUUGGUAGCCCCCAGAGUAGGUGACGUUGCACCGAACUGGGUUAACAAACUCAUUGUGCUUUUUACUUUUAUGCUUUGCGUUUUUCUUGUCUUUGUUAGCUUAGUGUUCGAAACAUUUCACUCAACAUCUGUUUUUGUAUAACUUGUGUUGAAACAUUGUAUGGAACAUCUUAAGUCUAACGUGCCAGAAUUUCAGUUAAUGAAGUUAUCCAAAAAAUAAACUAGUUAAUUUCUUCAAAAGUUCAAUCAUUCUAAAGUUUCUUAAUAUCAUUAUCAUUGGUGUCUUCAUCUCCAAUUUCAUCAAAUUCUUCUCGAGAUGAUAUAGAAUUUUCCAUAUUACAACCAAAUACAUGGCUUGAACUCACUUCAACAUUAAUUAACUCAUUCAAGUUUACUAUAGUUACAAGAUUUUACCAGGUUUAACACGUGUUAACUAACCCGGUCAAACAUUACAAUUUCAUCAAAAAUAAAGUAUAUCUGCGAGUUAACACGUUUUGGCCACCUAAAAAUGUAAACUCGGACGAAUUUACGAGUUAACAUUUGAUUUGUUGAACACUGCCCGCAACCACACCUGCCAGCUCCAUAAAAUCUACUGCCAAACCUCUACUGCUAAAUUACAUUCUAAAAAUAUGUGUGAGACGUUUUCAUCCGUUCCACAACCAAAUGAACAUAUUUUUUUACGAUUUAAUCCAAACUUCUCUUUUAACUAGAUUAUCUUUCGUCGGUAUCCUAUUUUGCAUCAUUUAUUCACACCAAAACUGAUGAAUACGCCUCCUUUAUCGUAUGUCCUUUUCUACCACUUAUCAUCCUAUCAUUCUUCAAAUUGUAUCUUCUUUAUCGUACAACUAAAUCAAACGCCUUUAAAUUUUUAAUCCCUACCCCUCCGACAUACUUUGUCAGUUAAUUUUCCUACUUACCUCUUUCCCAUCUCACCUUAAACUUCUAAAGAGAGAUUCCAGUUUAGAAAUUAAUCUAAAGUACCCUUGAAGAAAGAAAGAAAAUGGAUAGAUAAACCAUACAUCCCCAGUUUCAUUUUACUUGCCACUUUAGUGUUUUUUUUCUUCAUUUCGAAAUAAUUGUUACUUAUACUAAUAUAAUAUUUUUUUUCAUUAAUAUACCUUAAUUUAUUGAAUUUCACUCCAUUUAAUCAUCUCACUAACUUAUGUUUUGAUAAAUAAUACUAACUAUACAUGUUGUUAGUUAUCAUGAAAUCCCAGGGAUAAAGUACAUAAUGAUCAGCAAAAAAGAGAACAUACGAAUAUUCAUGUGGGAGAUACCCAUAGAAACUCAUAGUAGAAGGAAUAGAUUGGAUAAAAGAUGAUUAAGAGCGUACAAUGGUGAAAGCUAUUUAUAAGGGAAAGUUAGUCUAACUAACUCUUAACUACUCAACCAACCAGCUAACCAUAGUUUUCAUAUCAACUAACUAUGAUUUAUUCAUUAUACUCUAAUAGUCUCCCUCAAACUCAAAAUGGAGAAAUUCACCAAAUUUGAGUUACAAUUUAUUCACUAUAUUGUCCAACUCUACUCUCAAAAGUUACGAUUAACGUGACAUCAUGCUUUGGAAUACUUUAAUUUUUCCCAAAAAUGCCAAUUCCCUCCUUUGAUUAUAUUCAGUCGAAAAUGGCAUUUUUGGGGGUCCCAAUUUGUUAGCUGGUAUUUUCACCAGCCUCAUUUAAUAUGGUCAACAUUAGUUGACUUUUACUCUUGCAGGAAUUGAAGUCUUUUUCCUCAAUAAAAACAUUUUCAACGAAAUGUUGGAUUUAGUGUGAAGAGUCUCGAAGCAUUGAAGUUCGACAAGACACAUAGCAAGAGGCGAGGCCGUUGUAGUCAAGCAACUGCCUUUGGAGCGGGAAAGAUUCAAAUUUCAAAGGAGAAUCGGUUUCCUCAAAGGAGAACGUGGGAUACAAGCGGUUGUCUACAUGGAGGGAGUGUUGAUCGUGUGAUUAGUUUCUUUCCACUUAUUUCUUAUGUAUAAAUAAUAGUUUUCCAUAGGAAAACGGGUCGCAUAUCGCCUAUACAGAAUUUUCAAAACACUCGAAGUAUCGGCGCAAGAGAAAAUGGUCACAAAGAAUGUAUGUAAAGGAUUUGUCAAACCACCUUUAUUUUUAAUGCACUUGUAUUUGCACUUUUUCUUUUCUUUAAGUUUAUGCAAUUUAAACUUAAUGUUUUAAAAAACCUGUCGAAAGACGCCACACGGUCUCAUCCCGUUCCAUAAACAACCUACGAACUUGAUGAACGCACACCAACAAAUUGCACAACAUGUCCUAGGAUCUCUAGUUUGGUUCUUCUUGUUAUAAUCAAAACCAGUCAGUAUUUAUUUACCAUAAACACUGAUAAACAGCUAGUUAACUCACGGCAGGGGCAUUUUCAAAAAUUUGUUUGGGAGUGAACAAAACUUGUUGAAAGAAGAGCAUUUUUCUAAAAUGAUUUCUUAAUAAUUUAUAGAGCCCAAUCAAAUAGAGUCUUCAGUCACUGUAGCAUCUACUCCCAUGAAGUAUAAGAGCGAUUUCAAGAGAACAAUUCUACCACCAAUAAAAACACGUUUUUUGUUCCAUUUGGACAAACCAAUUCCUCUAUACAUCCACUACUUGUGAAUUACUCCAUUUGUUCCAUUUGGAGUAUUAAUGUAUUAAUGUAUUCUAGGAACCUAAAAGGGUCCAAGCCUUGUCCCAAAAAAGAGCAGUCCAAGUCAAUUUUAAAUCAGAAAACAUUGGCUAUUAAAGCGGUUGAGUCCUUCAAAGAAAAAACAAGCAUGAUAAUUUUACUUUUUUUUUAGGGAAAGCAUGAUAAUUCUACUUAGUUGUUUAACAAAACUAACAACACAUUCACACAGCGCACAAACGUAAACAAACAUCUAAUGACCGACUCAUUCAUAAUAGAUUUUUACAAGCUUCAGCUGUCCACGUUAUCUGUGAACCCCACACGCUUCUCUAAAUAAUAAUUCUUCCCUUAUAAAUACUCUCACACCCUCUCAAUUCUCAUAUCACCACUUCUCAACAUUCACAACUUUUCUUUAUAUUUUCAUUUUUUUCAUUUUCAAUCACUAUUCAAUAGUUUUGCAAUGGCAUCUUCAGCUAUAAAAUUCUUCUCCUUCUUUUUCGUCGCCAUCUUCGCUGCCAUCGUGGCCUCUGCCCAAGACCUUAGUCCUUCGUUGGCUCCGGCACCAGGUCCUGAUGCUGGAGCUGCUGGAUCUGUUGCAAGUUCGGUGGCUAUGAUCGGAGUUUCAAUUGUGUUGUCAAUGCUCGCCAUCUUCAAGCACUAAAAACAUGAUGAUUUCACUUAUUUUCUUGUGGACUUCAUGUAAGUAGACAAGUAGUAUUGACUUGUUCUGGUGCAUAAUCUUGUUUUGCAAUACAAUGAUGAUUCUUAGGAGUUAAUCUAUGUAUUUUUGAGAGUGUAAGAUAUUUUACUGUAUCUAUUUUUACAUUUCAUUAUUUAUUGUAGGUGCUAAAAUAAAAUAAAAAGGACUUUACUAUCUUUGUCGAGUAAUUAUUAUUGUCAUGUUUGCUUAUUCUUUUUUGUGUAUAAUAUAUAAACAAUGACAUUAUUGCAUUUUUCAACUUGGUAUUUUUUUUAUAAAUAUUUUUAUUCUAUUUAUCUAUUAUCUUAAUCUUUCAUCAUUUAAGUUUGGACUUGAAUAUGAAAAUAAUUAAACAAGUCGUUUAUUAAAAAAGAUAUUUAAUACUAAUAGUUCAAAUUUUCGUAAGAAUUUUUUUUUAUUUUUUUUUACAAUCAAAUUUAUUAGAAAUGAGAGAAGUAAAAUGAAUACUUAACUCAUAACUCAGGAAUAAUACAACAGAUACUUGUUCAGUAAAAAACAAACUCUAACUUAAGUAUAUAAACAAAGAUGAGGGUUUGAGUACCAUUCAUAAUACAAACACACUUCCUCAUUUUUCUUAACAAGGAACCAUCUCCAAGAUUUUUGUAAGAAUAUAAAAGAAAUAUAUGUUUAAUUGUAUCUUAAUUUUCUAAAGGAACCAAAAUUUAAGAUAAAAAUAAAGAUAUUAAAAUAUAAAGAUUUGCGAGAAUUUUUUUUGUUUUUUUUUGUUUUAAAGAAUAGAGCGGCGAAAUUCAAUUUAUAUAGGUGAAACGGACUAUUGUGGGUUUGACUAUGCCUAUUCAAAACCAAAGAACUAUUGCGAGUUUGACUAUGCCUAUUGAAAACCAAAAAAAUUGUUAACCAAGAUAUUUAGGUAAAGUGGUUAAUGAGUUAGACAAAAAUAUGAAUAAUUUUGGAGUUUUUGAGUCUGAUUCCUGAGUAGAAAAAGUCAACACGAACAAAAAAAAAUUGACCGUUUACGCCAUUGAUUUGUGGUCUACCAUAAGUUUGAAUUUGUUCAGUUUUCUCCACGAUUAAAUGCGACUAUAAAUCGGCCAUUUUAGAAAUAGGGAAUCAGAAUUCCCUUAACUUGUAUGAAAUCGACCUUUAUUCUCUAAGUUACAAAAGGUUAAAUUUUUAAGAUAAAGUUUCCUUUUAUUACUUUUUUUUUGUGGUACCUUUUAUUACUUCCUUAAUCGAUGUUCUAAGGGCAUUCAUUAGCAAGACCCAUAUUUUAUUUUUAUUUUUGUAUUUAAAAAGAAUAGAGAUUGAGAAAGAGAAAUGUGUAAGAGAGAAUGUGAGAAAAGGGAUAAAUAUGUAAAAUAUAAUAUCAUUUGAAAUAUGAUAUAAAAAACAGAGAAAAUGUUUUAUAUUUUAGGGUUACUUGUUAAAGUAGCCUAUGUAAUAUAUGCAAAGUCUGAAAAUAGUCCUUGUAAAUAUAAAAACACAAACUAUAUCCUUGUAGAGGAAGAUUCAAGAUCCAAAACAGAGGUCAAACUCUUUCUGGCAUCAGAAGCAAUGAAACUAGUGGGAGAGAUAACAACGUGACGAAGUAGGAGUGAGGAUGAGAACGAAGCAAAAAUGAAAAAUGGGUUUUAUAGAAUAAAACAGAGGGAUUUCAAUUUCAAAGUUUGAAGUGAAUGAAUGUUUAAAUUUAUGUUUAUUUUUUGUUUAUGGGUUUUUAUGGAUUUUUUAUGAAGGUUGAUGAUAAAGAUGGUAUGAAGUAGGGUUGUGAAAUUCUG
rnacentral:lncRNA from 1 species